GUGAGGAAUAUUGGGCAAUGGGGGAAACCCUGACCCAGCGACGCCGCGUGAGGGAAGAAGGUCUUCGGAUUGUAAACCUCUGUCUUCGGGGACGAUAAUGACGGUACCCGGGGAGGAAGCCACGGCUAACUACGUGCCAGCAGCCGCGGUAAAACGUAGGUGGCAAGCGUUGUCCGGAAUUACUGGGUGUAAAGGGAGCGCAGGUGGGGCUGUAAGUCGAAUGUGAAAUCUAUGGGCUCAACUCAUAAAUUGCGUUCGAUACUAUAGUUCUUGAGUGGAGUAGAGGCAGGCGGAAUUCCCGGUGUAGCGGUGGAAUGCGUAGAUAUCGGGAGGAACACCAGUGGCGAAGGCGGCCUGCUGGGCUUUAACUGACACUGAGGCUCGAAAGCGUGGGUAGCAAACAGGAUUAGAAACCCUUGUAGUCC
rnacentral:rRNA from 1 species